CCCUUAGAUGUUCUGGGCUGUACGCGCGCUACACUGACGCACGCAACAGGUGCCUGCUCCGAGAGGACUGGGUAAUCAUUUGAGUGUGCGUCGUGAUGGGGAUAGAAUAUUGUAAUUAUUACUCUUCAACGAGGAAUUCCUAGUAAGCGCCAGUCAGCAGCUUGCGCUGAUUACGUCCCUGCCCUUUGUACACACCGCCCGUCGCUCCUACCGAUGGGUGAUCCGGUGAAUGAUUCGGACUUCAGCGGCUCCCCUGGGGUGCGCCGGAGAAAGUUUUGUGAACCUUAUCACUUGGAGGAAGGAGAAGUCGUAACA
rnacentral:rRNA from 1 species